CUCCUCCGCGCUCACUGCUUUUUGGUCUGGUCAUCAAUUCUCAGUGUCAAUCCUCUCUUCGGUUGGUCUUCAAGCUCCUCUUCCAAGAUCAGUAUUCAUCACGACAUCACCGGUGUUUAUCAACCUGCAGUGGCAGUGUGGCUCAAUCAAACAAUUACUUAGUCCUUUCCACUCUUCUCUCUCGAAUCGUUAUUCUAACUGCCGCCGGCUUGGAGAGGGUCUCUCGCUCUCCUUCUCCUUCUCCAAUCCACGGUGAUGACUACUCAAAUGAAGAAUAUAUGUGUAAAUGAAUCAUACGAUUGUAAUCUUGAAGAAUGGUUGAUUAAACACAACACUGACGCUAGGUGGUCAAGCAAGCACCACACAUGGAAUUUGGAUCCUACUAAAGCAUCUAUCAAUUGGAACUUAGAAUGGCCCACAUUGGAGACGGUGCAAUUGGUGCAGGGCAUGAUAACAGCUGUUAUAGAAUUUCAUGAUAAGAAUGGAAUUCACGGUUAUCUUCAUAAUCAUAAGAACUUUUUGUUAAAAUUUGGAAUGAAGUGCUAUCUAGGUGCACAUGUGAGAGACAUUGUUAAAGUUUUUAUUGUGCAUGAUGAUAAGUCAGAGAAGAAGAAUGGUGAUUUGAAAGAGAAAUCCAAAAAUGUAAAUGUGACUAAGUUGGCUAGCAUGAUUUGCUAUACCAUACUUGGUAAAGAGAUUAAAGAGCUGCCUUCUGAUUGGAUUAACCUAAUUGACAGCGUUAAUAUGUUAUACACAAUUGAUAGACAAAAUAAUGUUAUUCCAGUGGAAUUCGUGAAGAAUCACCCAGCAUUGUGGCCAUAGCGAAGAAGAUUCAUGUUUUAUGAGGAAUGUUGGGUUCGAGCUAGACAUGUGACGGCUGACGUACACCAACAUAAUAGAAAAAAAGAUUUUAUCUACAAGUGGGUUGGAAAUAUUGCAUCCAAUAUCAAAUUUGUUGAUUGGUCUUCUAAUAUUCCUGUCGAUACAUCGAUGCGACGACUUUUUAAUGAUAUGUGUGGGCGGUCUAGAUUAAAAAAAGAUAAUGGCUAUGAUCUCCUUCACUUUCUCAGGGUUUUUCAUCAUCACUACUGUGAUCAAGAUAAGUCGCAAAAUCUCAUUGUCUAUGAAACUGAUAGCAAGUAUUAUAAAGAGGAAGAAUUUAUCGAACUUGUAACGACACAGUGUUUUCCAUUGUUUUUGGUGACCAUAUACAAAACAUUAUGCACGUAUGAUUUAUUUUUUUAGGAGGUGUAGGAGGAGACAACCAUUUUUCUGUUGGAGGAAGUGUGAAGUGUGAGAAUGGAAAGAAGGCACUCAGCUAAAACAAAUUCAUGUAUAUCUGAUGGAGUCUACAUUCAAGGAUCUAGAACAUACUUCAAAUUUAGUUAGGUAAUUUUUAGUAACUAGUUUUCAAUUUUUAGCUAGUUUUGGUUGGUUGGGCAGUUAAGAUAAUCAACAUUGGUUGGCUUUCAAUUGGCUAGUUAUUGUUUUUCCACUUAUUUUCUUUAUUCCACCCUCAAUUGUAUAUAAGACAGAACAAUUAACGUGAUUGAAUUGAAUGAAAACUUGCAGUUGUCCACCAAGUGGAGGCAUUUCUAUCAUUGUUUUUUUCUCCUCAGUAAGCUAAUAUUGUUGCAAUGAUUUAUGGGUAGAUAUGUGGAAUUCUUAUCUCUACUUUUAGAUUUGAUUAUCAAGAUUCAAUUAUGUAAUUCUGGAUUAAAUUGGUUACUACCGCAGAUAAAGCAGUUGAUUGGCUUAAACACUUUAAUCCCAGUUUAUUUGAUUUCUAGUAUUCUAAAAUCAGUUUCAUGAAGGAUGGGAAGGAGAUAAUAUUGCAGGGAGUUAGUGAUAUGGUGUCUCAAUCCAAGUUACUGAAUUGUUUGAGUUAUCAGCAGCUAUUACAAAAGGGAAAGAUUUUCAAACUCCUUUAUUAUGUGUGCAAGUGUCGUAAUCACCUUCAACUACAUUUUCAAUUACUGCAGUAGGUAAUGUUGUUUCAAGUACUCUUGAUACUAAUUCAGUUGAAUUGCAGAAUCUAUUAAAUAAGUAUCAGUGUAUUUUUGAAGAUCCAAAGACCUUGCCACCAUUUAGAAGUCACAAUAAUUAUAUUCCCUUGAUACCAAUAGCAGAACUCUUGAAUAUUAGGCCCUAUAGGUACCCUCAUUUUUAGAAAGCAGAAAUAGAGAAAUUGAUGGAUGAAAUGUUACAAAAUGAGGUCAUACAACCCAACAUCAGUCCUUAUUUUUCUCCAGUACAUCUUGUCAAGAAAAAGGAUGGUUCUUGGAUGUUUAUUAUUAUUAUAUUUUAUUUUUUACCAGCUUUGGGUUUUUGUCUAGCUCAGCUGUAUCUAUGUGAGUGUGACAUUUUGUGUUUGUGACCUCUUCAAUCAAUAUAUCUCAGUUCUAUAUGGUUGCUCCUGUUAGGUGCUCGAGCAGAAUUAGAAACCAUGUCACUUCUCCAUGAUACAAAUGGAUUAGAAGUUGGAAUAAGUGAUGCUACAUUCUCCUCAUUGUGCAGAGCAGUGCUUGUUUUAUUGUCGUUGAAUCACUAUAUAGGUUGCUGACUUAGUUUAAGAUCAUUAGUAGUGUGAGCAUCUUUUCAAUUAGAGUGACUCUACUCAGAAGUUGACUCUUUUCAUAAAUUGAAUUGUAGCAGUUUUAUUUUGCACUUGGGGAAUCGGCAUUUCUGUUAUCUGCUCACUGGGUCUCCUCCUCGUGGUUUUGGAUUUCCUGCUACUAUUCAAGAUGAUUACUCCUGUAUUGUUAAAUUGUUUGUCUUCGAGGAAACCAACUGCAGUGCGUCCGAAUUUUAUCCAAAAAUUGUUUAUUCUGCUAGUUUUGAGAUCAAAACUUCAUUCAUUAAUAGGGGUGAUAUCAUUAACCGCCAUAUCCUUAGCCCAGGAGAGAAGCAUGAGAGCAUGAAGAGGAAACAAGAAGAUAACUG